CCUGGCUUAGGAUGAACGCUAGCGGCAGGCUUAACACAUGCAAGUCGAGGGGCAUCGGGAGUAGCAAUACUUGCCGGCGACCGGCGCAAGGGUGCGUAACGCGUGAGCAACAUGCCCGUAUCAGGGGGAUAAUCCAUGGAAACGUGGUCUAAUACCCCAUAGUAAUUAUGUAAGGCAUCUUAUAUAAUUUAAAGCUUUGGUGGAUACGGAUUGGCUCGCGUGACAUUAGCUAGAUGGUAGGGUAACGGCUUACCAUGGCUACGAUGUCUAGGGGUUCUGAGAGGAAGGUCCCCCACACUGGAACUGAGACACGGUCCAGACUCCUACGGGAGGCAGCAGUGAGGAAUAUUGGACAAUGGAUGGAAAUCUGAUCCAGCCAUGCCGCGUGCAGGAAGAACCGGCCCUAUGGGUUGUAAACUGCUUUUGUAUGGGAGCAAUAAGGGCUACGCGUAGUCCGAUGAGAGUACCAUACGAAUAAGCACCGGCUAACUCCGUGCCAGCAGCAGC
rnacentral:rRNA from 1 species